AGUAUUAUUUUAGAUUCUCUCUCAUGUUUGCCUUCCUGGCAAAAAAUUCCUCAUGUUAAAAACUUAAAAGUAGCUUAGGACGUAAAUUAAGAUUAACAGCUAACAACAGGAACGCAUGAAGUUAACAACUCUACUUGGUAUAUACUUUGACCUGAACCUUAUCUUACACAUGACUGAUCUCUACCUCAUUUUUUCCUUACCGGUGCUUAUAUGCAAGGUGUUCCAGGGGUAUUUAUGUGAAUUAUCAUUAGAAACUUGCAGUCAAACUUGAGAAAUUAAGAGAGGUGAAUGAAAUUGAGGUGCUUCUGGAAAUGUUUGUUUGGUGGCGUAGUUAGUUUGUAAUGUAUGUUAUCAUGAAACUUGUAUAUGCCAUCCUUGCUUUUCUUUGAUAUUCCCUUUUUGUGAUACAUGUACUGAUUUCGUGGAAUGAUAGUAGCGACAUGAGCUAAGUGCGACUGAUCCAACAUCAGGGAACAGUUUUCUAGAGAAAAAACUGAAAAUCAGAUAUACUGGUCAUGAUCUUUUGGAACUUCAGUUAUACUGCAAGUUUUUGGUGCUUUCUUCCAUUAGAAUAUUUGAGAUCCAAAUUGCAUUCAAUAACCAAUGUAUGUAGUGUCUACAUUGCUGCUAAUAGCAUAAUUACUUUGGCACUCUACUAAUGAUUGAAACGUUAUCCAAUGAGAAAUGUGAUUUAUUAUCUACGAUCCUCUGGCUUUGAGUUCUUCUUUUAUGCAAGUAAUCCAACUUGAGUAUUUUGUCAUCUCUAUAAUUUGGUUUCCGAGGCAUGUUUUCUGACCAUGUUUAUGCAAUUACAGAAUGAUAAUCUGAUAACGGCUGUUCUAACGGGGCCAGGUAUUGUCUUCAUCCAAAGCAUGCCUUUUCAUAGGCUUUCUCAACGCAUUGCUAGGGCGGUAACAUCUCCAAACAUGAGGGACAAUCCCAAAUUCUUCCUUCAGAUAGCAAUAUUUUUCUUUAUAGCAUAUGUUUUCAUUGUAUCAUCUUUAAUCUUAACUUAUGUUUGAGCCUUCUUAUUUCCUUUUUGUUUCUGUCAAUAUUCUAUAUCGUUCUUUGUCACCUUUAUUUUCUUUUGGGUUGACUAGCAUUUAAAUCUUAGUUGCAAAUAUAGAGUAAAUAUAAGCAGGGAUUUUAGCGUGGCAAUGAUGGAGUCAUGUAUGAGGUUGGAAUUGUAAAUCAAUUGACGUUGCUAACUUGUACAGUAUCUUCAUCAAAAUUUCACAUCA